rnacentral:rRNA from 1 species
CAGUCGCCGCGGGAAUACGGAGGGUGCAAGCGUUAAUCGGAAUUACUGGGCGUAAAGCGCACGCAGGCGGUCUGACAAGUCAGAUGUGAAAUCCCCGGGCUUAACCUGGGAACUGCAUUUGAAACUGUCAGGCUGGAGUCUUGUAGAGGGGGGUGGAAUUCCAGGUGUAGCGGUGAAAUGCGUAGAGAUCUGGAGGAAUACCGGUGGCGAAGGCGGCCCCCUGGACAAAGACUGACGCUCAGGUGCGAAAGCGUGGGGAGCAAACAGGAUUAGAGACCCCUGUAGUCCCUGUCUCUUAUAA